GUCUCUCUGUGGCGCAAUCGGUUAGCGUCUUCAGCUGUUAACUGAAAGGUUGGUGGUUCGAGCCCACCCAGGGACA